UUGGACAUAGAAGUGUGGCACCCGUGUCA
rnacentral:piRNA from 1 species